AUGCUGGCGCGACUGGAUCUCGAUACUUCUAUCCACCGCCUCCACUCGUGUCAUGCUCAACGGCCACCCGGCCCCCCGAUCGAUCAUGCAUGUGGCCUCCGCCAAGGCGACCCAGUAUCCCCGAUGAUUUUCACCCUCGUCAUCGACGUCCUCAACUCCAUGCUCAUCCGGGCCGUCGAUCUCGGCCUCAUCCAACGACUGACCACGCGGCACGCGGCCUCCAGCAUCUCCCUCUAUGCCGACGACGUCGCCAUCUUCUACCGCCCUGACCACCACGACAUCUCGACCGUCCGUGAGCUUCUUCGGGUCUUUUGGGUUGCCUCUGGGCUGCACAGUAACUACCCGAAGUGCUCGGCCACCCCCAUCCAAUGCAACGACGAGGACAUCGCGACAAUCGCUUCCGAGAUGCAAUGCCCGGUGAAGCAAUUCCCAAUCCAAUAUCUGGGACUCCCCUUGUCCAUUCGCAAGCCGUCUACUACGAGUCUCAUGCCGAUCGUCCACAAGCUAGAGCGCAAGCUCUCCACAUGGCGGGCCUCGCUCCCCUUGGUGACCGGCUCGCCCUUGUCCGUCAUGUCUUAA
rnacentral:rRNA from 1 species